UCGGAUGUGGUGCACGGUGCACGCCCUCUUCCAGCGUUCCAGACAGUUUGUGGGAACCCUGGGUUCGACUCCCAGCGUCCGAA